GACGAACGCUGGCGGCGUGCCUAAUACAUGCAAGUCGAGCGGACCUCUUCGGAGGUCAGCGGCGGACGGGUGAGUAACACGUGGGCGACCUGCCUGUAAGACUGGGAUAACUCCGGGAAACCGGAGCUAAUACCGGAUACUAUGUCAAACCGCAUGGUUUGACAUUCAAAGACGGUUUCGGCUGUCACUUACAGAUGGGCCCGCGGCGCAUUAGCUAGUGGGUGAGGUAACGGCUCACCAAGGCGACGAUGCGUAGCCGACCUGAGAGGGUGAUCGGCCACACUGGGACUGAGACACGGCCCAGACUCCUACGGGAGGCAGCAGUAGGGAAUCUUCCGCAAUGGACGAAAGUCUGACGGAGCAACGCCGCGUGAGUGAUGAAGGUUUUCGGAUCGUAAAACUCUGUUGUCAGGGAAGAACAAGUGCCGGAGUAACUGCCGGCGCCUUGACGGUACCUGACCAGAAAGCCACGGCUAACUACGUGCCAGCAGCCGCGGUAAGAC
rnacentral:rRNA from 1 species